CUUACAUAUGUUGGGACAUACAGAUGUGGCUGGAGCAGUUUAUAAGUCCAAAUAAAUUACAUAAAUUCAUGUAGAUAAAUAUUAAAAUAUGAAAGAUGCUUGUUUAUAAAGUGACUCUUACUUGUUUAAUAGGUGUUCGAAGACUGCAUUUGUAUCUACCUAUUGAAAGAAUAAUAACAUGAAGAAGUAAAGGAUGUAUGAGAUUAAAUACCUGCAGACUGCUUAACAAAUGAUUUGGAUUGAACAGGGACUGUGAGAUAUCAUCUUCAUUGCUUAAUGACAUAGUACAAUUAAUCACCUUUGUAAGAGGAAGUACUACAAAUUUUGAAAUCACCAAGGAGCUUGCUGGAUUGUAUUCUAUAACAGGCCCCACAAUUGGAAGGUGGUCUUGGUUCUUAUAAUUUUUGGAAGCUCAUACAUCAUCUUUAGUGAAGUGUGCAAACCAGUGCCUGGAUUUCCUGCGUCAGAUGAGGGGAGCACAUCUUUCUCCUUCUGUUCUGGCCACUUUUUACAGAGGGGGAAAAAAAGCCACAGAUUUCUCUUCUGCUAAUUGUGUCUAUUACAAAGAGAUCUUGCAAUAUGCUCACAAUGGGAAAAAAAUAGCAUCGUUCUUUGUUUUUCAAAGGGGUGUCAAACUGCUGGCCAGUGGGCCAGAUGCGUCACGAGGGAACCGCGCCCACCCAAUUUCCGGCAAUGGGGAAAAGCUCGAUACAUUGCACGAUGUCACAAGAUAUUUCACAAAAUAAGGAUUAAACAAAUGUACAGGACUAGAACUCAUAGCUCUUGGAUAAAGCCAUACAUUUGUAAACUGCUCCUAUGAAGACAUAUGAGCCUCGAAGACUGGCAAAUUUUGGGGGCUCCCAUUCAACAACAAAGCCAGGGUGAUCACAGAUGCUGGUGGUAGUGUCAAAACAGCAGACCUUGAAAGGAUGGAAGUUUGAAUCAACCUUGAAAGGAUGGAAGUUUGAGUCAACCUUUGAGCAGGAUUGAACUCUUGGCAGUGGAAUGCAAAGUCAGCCUGCAAUGUUGCAUUCUAACCAUUGAGCCACCACGAUGCCUAAUGAUAAUAAACUAUCAUUUCAGUAUCAAGGACUGUUUAAAAUAAAUGAAAAAUAAAACAGAUGUACACAAACAUCAAGUGAUAACCUGUUUCUCAACUUUGGGGACUUACGCCAUGUAUUGCUUUAAGAUUUUUAAAGGUAUUUCUAAAAUAAUUUUGUUUGGUAUUAUUGCAUUUUAUUUAUUCUAUUGUUUAUCAUCUAGAGCCUUUCAAUCAUUGUCACAGGACAUAUAUUUGAUAAAACAUAUUUAUAAUAUGGUUAAAUUACAUGAAUGUUGUAUAUGUUGAUUUUUCUUGAAUGAUUGCCUAUUUGUAUACUAAAAAUCAUAUGUUUUUAUAUCAAAGCAUCAAUUAAUUUCAAAAUAAAUGCUGUUGGCAUUAAAUUACACGUCAA